UUGAAUAAAAGUCAAAAAGAGACAAAUUAUUGUUAAUAAUUUUAAUGAGAUUAUACUCUUGUUCA
rnacentral:tRNA from 1 species